rnacentral:tRNA from 1 species
UUAUAUUUAAGUAUAUGUUGUACAAAGAUUUUUGAUAUCUUAAGUAAUAGUUUGAAUCUAUUAAAUAUA